CAGUCCAUGGGGUCGCAAAGAGUGGGACACGACUGAGCGACUAACACUUUAACUAACACUUUUCAAGCAAGGAGCGGCGCUGGCUCUUCCUUUAAGGGGCUUGGCCUGUAGAAGGCGGGACCCUGCCCGCCUUGGUCUUUGAUUGGCUCAGCUCUCGCCAGAGCUGCUUCUAGAUUGGUUGGCUCAUGUGUCUCUCCCCUCCCUCCCCGAGGUUUCCGCUUCCUGUUCUCACAGACGCUCCGGCCGUAACGAUGAUCGGGGACAUCCUGCUGUUUGGGACGCUGCUGAUGAACGCCGGGGCGGUGCUCAACUUUAAGCUGAAAAAGAAGGACACGCAGGGCUUUGGGGAGGAGUCGAGGGAGCCCAGCACAGGCAAGGAUACUGGAAUGAGUUGCCAUGCCCUCCUCCAGGGGAUCUUCCCCACCCAGGGAUCAAACCUACGUCUCCUGCGGCUCCUGCAUUGCAGGUGACAACAUCCGGGAGUUCCUGCUGAGCCUCAGAUACUUUCGAAUCUUCAUCGCCCUGUGGAAUGUCUUCAUGAUGUUCUGCAUGAUCGUGCUGUUUGGUUCCUGAGCUCCAGAUGCAGAACCGAGAACACACCUUCUGAGUCUCUCUUCCUCCGUUCCUGACGACUUCAAGAAUGUUUCUGACCAGAAACCGACUGACCUUCCCAGAAAGUCCAAGCUUGUGGUGGGUGGAAAAGAUGUUCGCCAAGAUGCACAUGGUUUCCCAGCCACAUCGCUGUUUUCUUUUCAAAGAUGUUUUCUUUGAUCGCUGCCUUGAAAUGCUAUCUACUUAAGGAGUCUGAGGAGAGUGUAUGUAAAGGGCUGGGAUAAUAUUGCAUUCCCCAAAGAUAAAAGAACCUAUUUAAUCAGAGCAGAAUCUCUCUUCUACCAGGCUUUCCCUGGAAACCCGUUUCUGUGUCUUUCUUGGUUUAUUUUCAAUAACCAUCCUUUUUUGGUUCGAGUUAUACGGAUUUGUAAAAAUCUUUCUUACCAGGGAUCUGAAGCAGAAAGGUUGGCUUUUCGGUUUGAUGCAGCCUCUUAUUGGACUGUGUUUGUGAUGACUGAGCAAGUUCAUUGUUGCUGGGUCAGUGUCCAGAUUCCUUCCCCAUCACAAUGGUUUGUGCUCGGCCACAUGGUACCACUAAGGUUGUCCCAGGACUUAGAGGGUGAAGUAUUAUUGGUUCCCAUGGAAGAGAGGUACAGAACAGUUGGCAGGGUGGAUGGGGGUUUUAUGAGAAACUUUGCCUUGCCUGGAAGCCCUCUAUUAAAGUAACUUUUGGGGACCAUUAAUUGUAGAGUUUUUAGAAUGAGAGUGAUUUAUGUGGUGGUACUGGGAUCCAGUUCUGAAAGCUUGGUUUUGGGGGGUCUGCCUUUUAAGUGGAUGAUUUCAAGAUUGACAAACUAUAAGCCUCAUUUGAGGAAAUACAGCAUUUUGCACAGAAACUUCUUUGAAUCCGAGUCUGAAUUUUAUCACCAACAUGGCUGUCUGGUGGUCAGCACCUGGAUCCUGCAGGUGUUUGAUUUAUUUGUUGUGAUGUGUGAAAUCCAAGCUUGUAGGUAACCUGGUGGGAGGAAAAAAUAAAUAUGCAGGCUUUUAGAACUAAGUAGGAUUGAAAAUAAAGCUCAUUUCUAAAGAGG